GACGAACGCUGGCGGCGUGCUUAACACAUGCAAGUCGAACGGAAAGGCCCUGCUUUUGUGGGGUGCUCGAGUGGCGAACGGGUGAGUAACACGUGAGUAACCUGCCCUUGACUUUGGGAUAACUUCAGGAAACUGGGGCUAAUACCGGAUAGGAGCUCCUGCUGCAUGGUGGGGGUUGGAAAGUUUCGGCGGUUGGGGAUGGACUCGCGGCUUAUCAGCUUGUUGGUGGGGUAGGGGCUUACCAAGGCUUUGACGGGUAGCCGGCCUGGGAGGGUGACCGGCCACAUUGGGCCUGCGAUACGGCCCAGACUCCUACGGGGGGCAGCAGUGGGGAAUAUUGCACAAUGGGCGGAAGCCUGAUGCAGCAACGCCGCGUGCGGGAUGACGGCCUUCGGGUUGUAAACCGCUUUCGCCUGUGACGAAGCGUGAGUGACGGUAAUGGGUAAAGAAGCACCGGCUAACUACGUG
rnacentral:rRNA from 1 species